rnacentral:rRNA from 13 species
UUACCGACCGAUAGUGAACUAGUACCGUGAGGGAAAGAUGAAAAGUACCCCGAUGAGGGGAGUGAAACAGUACCUGAAACCGGAUGCUUACAAGCUGAUGGAGCUCUUCGGAGUGACAUCGUACCUUUUGUAUAAUGGGUCAACGACUUAGUGUUGUAUGCAAGCUUAAGCCGUUAGGUGUAGGCGCAGCGAAAGCGAGUCUGAAUAGGGCGUUCAGUUCGUUGCUUUAGACCCGAAACCGAGUGAUCUAUCCAUGAGCAGGCUGAAGGUUGGGUAACACCAACUGGAGGGCCGAACCCGCAUCUGUUGCAAUAGAUUGGGAUGACUUGUGGAUAGGGGUGAAAGGCCAAUCAAACUUGCUGAUAGCUG